rnacentral:pre_miRNA from 1 species
UUAACUCAAAUUUGUAUGAAGUUGGAACGAUUGUCUACGUUUGGCGCUGUUUCAACUGCAUACACAUUUGAGUUA